ACCUGGCUGGCUCAUUCAGUGGAGUGUGAGACCUUUGAUCUUGGGGUUGUGGGUUCAAGUCCCGCAUUGGGUG
rnacentral:tRNA from 1 species